rnacentral:rRNA from 1 species
ACACCGGCAGCUCUAGUGGUAGCUGUUCUUAUUGGGCCUAAAGCGUUCGUAGCCGGUUUGGUAAGUCACUGGUGAAAUCCUGUAGCUUAACUAUGGGAAUCGCUGGUGAUACUGUUGAACUUGAGGUCGGGAGAGGUUAGCGGUACUCCCAGGGUAGAGGUGAAAUUCUGUAAUCCUGGGAGGACCACCUGUGGCGAAGGCGGCUAACUGGAACGAACCGGACGGGGAGGGACGAAAGCUAGGGGCGCGAACCGGAUUAGAUACCCGGGUAGUCCUAGCCGUAAACGAUGCGGACUUGGUGUUGGGAUGGCUUUGAGCCGCUCCGGUGCCGAAGGGAAGCUGUUAAGUCCGCCGCCUGGGAAGUACGGUCGCAAGACUGAAACUCAAAGGAAUUGACGGGG